UACAUUCUCAUAAGGAGCGUGCAACCCAGAUCUCUCCCAUGCACAGUUCACAGUAGGGUUGGUUCGCGCUCCUGUGAGAAUCAGAUGCUGCUGCUGACCUGACAGGAGGCGGAGCUCAGGCUAUAAUGCUCACUAGCCUGUCGUUCACCUCCUGCUGUGCUGCUGGAUUCCUACCAGGCCAUGGACCAGUACUGGUCCGUGGCCUGGGGAUUGGGAACCCCUGGCCUAUAGUAUAUGCUCCAUAAGUAUUUAUUCAGUUAGUAAUUUGGGUAAUGAAAAGGAAAUAAUGACUUUCUGGGCAAAUUCUCUAUUGCCAGUUCCAAAUUCACCUAAGUCUCCAUCCCGCCAGACAAUUCUUUAACAAGAGUAGCCUCUCCUAUCACUUCACUGCUGAUUUCAAAUUGUGUGCCUUCCUCAUGGCCCAUCCUCUACUCAGUCCUUUCUGGAUUCUUUGAAGAUCUAGUAUUCUACUUGAUUGAUAAAUUGAAAGAGGAAUUUUAGAAAUUUGGCUCUUUCAUUUCGUGUCUAUAACUCCCUCUCCCUUCCAAUUUCUUUCUAGAUCAAUAUCAAAAUGAGAGCAAGCAAGGUGGCCAGCAAAGGGUGUGCCUGAGGUCCUCCAGAGUUCUCCAGGGAAGAGAGCAACAAGAAACCCCAGGGGCGAGGUGACAGACUAAAGCCUAGUGGCUAAGGGAAGGGGGCGCCUCGCUGAGGGCCUGGGAUGGAGUGGCUCCUUGAAAUGUCUCAGUCAUCAAAACCUGUGAAUCCCUCAGAAGUGGGGUGUGCUCCUCACCUUGCUGUGGAAGGUCCUAGGAGGACCUGCCCAGUUCUCCUAAUCCCAAGGAGCCUGCAAGGAGACCAGCAGAAUGGUAAACCCAGAUGUUUCGAUGGAUGCAGAAAUGAUGGUAGAUAAGCAGUACAUUCUUCUCUCAGGAGCAUGAGGAGAGAUAAAACUUGUUCUUUG
rnacentral:lncRNA from 1 species